rnacentral:rRNA from 1 species
GUUGACCUCGGAUCAGGUAGGGAUACCCGCUGAACUUAAGCAUAUCAAUAAGCGGAGGAAAAGAAACCAACAGGGAUUGCUCUAGUAACGGCGAGUGAAGCAGCAAUAGCUCAAAUUUGAAAUCUGGCGUCUUCGGCGUCCGAGUUGUAAUUUGUAGAGGAUGCUUCUGGGCAGCCACCGACCUAAGUUCCUUGGAACAGGACGUCAUAG